rnacentral:rRNA from 1 species
UACGGAGGAUCCAAGCGUUAUCCGGAAUCAUUGGGUUUAAAGGGUCCGUAGGCGGGCCUGUAAGUCAGUGGUGAAAUCCGGCGGCUUAACCGUCGAACUGCCAUUGAUACUGCAGGCCUUGAAUUAUUGGGAAGUAACUAGAAUAUGUAGUGUAGCGGUGAAAUGCUUAGAUAUUACAUGGAAUACCGAUUGCGAAGGCAGGUUACUAUCAAUAUAUUGACGCUGAUGGACGAAAGCGUGGGGAGCGAACAGG